AAAAAAAAAAAAAAAAAGAUAAGGUAAGAAACAAAAAGAAAAAACUCUGAAUGUUUCUGAUUCUCAUUUCCGUGUUAUAUUCACUACUGAGAAUGAUUAUAACUGGACAACAGAUGAAAAGCUUAAAAGUUUCCAGCUUUUUUAAAAUUGACAUUCAAAAAUGCAUUCUCCACUCAUAUUACUUCUCUUUCAUAAGCACAUUGGACGUUUACAUCCUUCAUUCAAGACAAUAAAAAAAUCAACAAAAAAAUCUUGUCUAAAAAUUUCCUAAACCCACAAAAACUUGAUUCAUGAUUAGAGAGAAUAUUUAAUGGGGCCAGAUUAUAUCAGUUUCUGCUGGAAAUCAUAAAGUUGAACAUUAAAAUAAUUGGCUUAAAAAAUAUUCAGGGAGGCCAAAAAUACCAACCUAGAGAUGGCUUUAUUUACACUACAGGAAUCUUUUAGAUGGCCUUAUAAAAUGAAAAGCUGAAUACAAAACAUAGUAGCAAACAGACUUCAAAGUUAUCGAGCAUUUUGGAUUUGUAAACUAAAACUAACUCCGUCUUUGUGAACAUAAAGAGUACCACAAGCACGUCUAAUGAGUGCUUCACUCGACAUGAUGAAUUUUCCAUUUCAUGGCCACACUAAUCAUUCAUUAAAG
rnacentral:misc_RNA from 1 species